GAUGAACGCUGGCGGCGUGCCUAAUACAUGCAAGUCGAGCGAACGGACGAGAAGCUUGCUUCUCUGAUGUUAGCGGCGGACGGGUGAGUAACACGUGGAUAACCUACCUAUAAGACUGGGAUAACUUCGGGAAACCGUAGCUAAUACCGGAUAAUAUUUUGAACCGCAUGGUUCAAAAGUGAAAGACGGUCUUGCUGUCACUUAUAGAUGGAUCCGCGCUGCAUUAGCUAGUUGGUAAGGUAACGGCUUACCAAGGCAACGAUGCAUAGCCGACCUGAGAGGGUGAUCCGCCCCACUGGAACUGAGACACGGUCCAGACUCCUACGGGAGGCAGCCGUAGGGAAUCUUCCGGAAUUGGCGAAAGCCUGACGGAGCAACGCCGCGUGAGUGAUGAAGGUCUUCGGAUCGUAAAACUCUGUUAUUAGGGAAGAACAUAUGUGUAAGUAACUGUGCACAUCUUGACGGUACCUAAUCAGAAAGCCACGGCUAACUACGUG
rnacentral:rRNA from 1 species